ensembl:lncRNA
GCGACGCGCCCUGCGUGAACACGGGGUUUGAAAUAUGCAGAGACUCGGCUAAGCUAGACGAGAAAGAGAGUUCAUCUGAUUUUGUAAGUUUUAUUCGGGUGUUUUUGUGACAUUUUUUGUAGUUUGAUGGGAGGCACAGUGAUAAAUUACUUUUUUUUUUAUUUGAAAUGUUUCACUUGUGACAGUCACUUAGGUUUUAACCGGAUGCUAGACGCUAACGUUGCUAAACAGCUAGUGGUAAAGCUAACUCUGCUUAAAAGAAUUAGAUUUAUUUAACCUUACGUUAACCAGCGUUACUGUUUGUAACAUAAUCCACCACCCGGGCUUGAAUCCAAGUUAACUUGCAUUUUGAACCUUUUCCAUUCUCUAUCAUCUAAAUGAUUGACCAUUUUUUGUGCCUGCUAAACUCAAGGUUCUGCACUACUUCCUGUCACACACACAAGACCCAUGUCAGCGGCUAUGGCGAAUGAUACCAGUUUUGGCUGGCUUCGGCAAGCGCGUACGCUAAAUUGGAUACGAUACAGAGAAGAUUAGCAUGGCCCCUGCGCAAGGAUGACACGCGAAUGAUACCGCGUGGAUGACUACGUGGAAUAUGGACACAAAUCCCAGUAAGAUGACUGUGCCGAUUAUCUAGUGGUUGGGUUGCUGGGUCCCCAGUUCGAUUGUGUGCUGCACAAAACAAACACUGCAUGUUAAAGUGGAAGCGGUGCUGGGUGUGGGAGUGAUGAGUUGCACUAAUCAGCUGGGGUGUCGAGUUGACUGCUUCAGUCUGAUCCAACCUGAGGACACGCAAUGUGCACAGGGGCCAUCUGACCCAACCCUGCUCCUCUAUACACAUGUGUUGUAUGCUUCUUUCAAGUUAAAACGCACACACACAUAGAAACAACUGGCCACAUAGCAAAAAGCUUACAGCUCUCUGCAGGUUGUCCCAGGCAUCCUGGAGCACUUAUUGCCAUUGUGUGAAUUCUGUCUCUUCAUGUAAUGACUCGUUUUGAGGUCAGACCUCAGUCCUGCUUUAAUAAUUCCACAUUUGACUGUCUGUGUUUAUUUUCCCAUGUGCUGGAUAAUGAAAUCUAUGGGUUUUGUAUGGAGCCACAGUCAUGCAGCAUUUGGCAUGCACUGUAAACCCUGACAGAAGACUGUAGGGCUAGGUGAUGAGACUUCAUGCAGUACUACAUUAAAUAUACUCUUUAAUUUACAAAUGUCAUUGUUUAUUAGCAGGUGUGAUCACCCUAGAAAGCAUUAUGUAAACUUGAUAUCUAUUUUACAUAAUGCUGAUGAUGCCAUACUCUAAAAAAGUCACAUUUUCAGAACAAAAUCAUGGUUUAAUAAAGUCCGUAUUAAUGUCACCUGUCAUAUUAACUCAAUUUUUUUUAAAUUUUUUUUAUUUAUUUAUUUUUUUGGACAAGGCAACAGAUGCUGUGGUGUAGAUGUCAUGGAAGGUCCUCUUCCCCCUCUCCAAGGCAGAACUUCGAGCUCCAUGACCUGAUGACACGAGCUCCUUCAUUCUUUAAGUCUUAAAAUUGGACAGCUUAUGCUUACAUGGGAUGACCCAAAUAUAUUCUGCCAGCAAAAGUAGGUGGAGGAAGAAGGACCCCAAAACUGGCAGCUUAAUAUCAGAACACUGUCAGCCCUUACAGCAGCAGACACUGCAGUCACUGGUACAGCUCUUUGUGGACCUUCACUAGUUGUGCACAUCACCAGUCACUGAGCUGCUGCAGAAUGACCUACAUUGACCCGAUGUUACCCAAUGCUGGAAAACAAUUUCCAGUAGUGAAUUCUCGAAGGAUCCAAACCUCUUCCUUCUUAUUUGAUGAUUGAAACAUCAGCUUGCAGCCUCGUGCACAGCGAGGAAUCGGACAAGAUUUUGCAUCAGAAGAAAUAUCCAAAGUGGUGGGGAGCAUCAUGACCAGCCUUGGAAGAUCUGUGUUAUUGGCUUAAAUUGAACAUUUUCCUUCACUCUUACCACAGCAACAACCAUCCAGGCAAAUACUGUAAUAAAAUGGCACAAACUUGUAUCAUAUUUCUCGCAGUUCUGAUUUUGGGGUCAUAACAUCCAGCUCUCAAAUAGCUGAAUUAAAGCAGCAGAGGGUUCAUUAAUCACUUUUGCUGAAAGUGUUUUGCAGAAGUGACAGCAACUGGACUCCUAAGAACGAUUACAGUUUCAGUGAAUGCCUUGCAUCAUCAGAGGCUUCAGCUCAUUUUAAAUAUCUGCUUGUUCUAUUGUUUUGUCAUCGAGCAGGGUUAGAAGCUUGUUUGUCUGGCACUAUGAUGUGUAUGUAUUAUUGUAGGGUCUACCUUACAAUAUAAAGUGGCUUGAGGUGACUGUUGUGAUUUGGUGCCAGAUAAAUAACUUUGAAUUGAAUUAAUCUGUAUUCAGAUAUUUAUGUACCCAGAAAACAGAGAAAGUAACUGUAUAGUUGUAACAUUGAAGAUUCUCUGCAACAUCUGUGCAGGAAGCAAACUUGAGAUGGUUGGUGUUAAACUCAACAAUAUCCUGCUGUUCACCCGGUUAGCUGUAACUAUACUGAUAAUGAAAUCACUGGUGUAUUUUUACACCUUUAGAUACUGAUUUACACUGGCUCUGCAGGUUUGGUGUAUCUGUAGAGUAUCAGUGGUUUACACAUGGAUUUCUUUUGAAUAAACCAUAAUUCAUAUGUAAUGUAGGUAUUUGGCACCAGUACAGAUCAUCAACCAGAUAUGAAUAGAUUAUAGAGAACUGGCUUCUUUAUUUACACAGAAUUGAAAGGGGGGGGGGGGGGUAAAGAUGGGACCACAUUCAGGUUGGCUCAAUCUUCACUUUAAGAAAAAGGGGGGAAAAAUGAAUAUAAAUAUAUAAAAAAAGAUGUGCUCCUGGUAUUAAAUUACAAAUGUGUACAUCCUCUCAGUAUCACAUUCCUAUCUGUUGUUUUUGUUUGGUUUUCAGUCAAUACAGAAAUAUGAAAUGACAACAUGACCUAAAUAAACUAAAUUCAGACAUGUGACAAGUUGCUGUUCUCCAUGGUUUCCCAUCUCUGCUGUAUAGUAGAAUUUUAACCACCAGGUGGCAGUUGAAUAUCAGUGAUCACCUCCAGUCUGUUGCCUAUAAUGAGGUAACACAUUUUACUGGACUAAUUAGUGCCUCAAAACUGCACACACUGAUAACUCCUGCGGCAUCGUUUUUCAUCCGUAUCCUGUGGUGCACACGCCAUGUAGGAUUCUGUGGAAAUGAACUUCACAAUCGCUCUCGCACAAACGUGUUUUAACAUUGUUUUAAUGUAAAUGUGUAAGACUGCCAUUACCUCAACUGUAUUGCUACACUUUAAACACUUCUAGCUUUUAAAGUAAAAAGUUUAACAAUUUAAAGUGCAAAACAGAUGAAUUCAAAUGUUUUGGGGGAUACAUAUGUAAUCAAAUAUAUUUUGAACAUACUGACCUGGUAUUUGCUCAGUUUGAACACGAAUGAUUUUAAGUGUUUGGAUGUCGCACUACAUGUCAUCCAUUCAUUUUUUAAAAAAUAAAUAAAUA